rnacentral:rRNA from 1 species
GACGAACGCUGGCGGCGUGCUUAACACAUGCAAGUCGAGCGGUAAGGCCCUUUCGGGGGUACGACGAGCGGCGAACGGGUGAGUAACACGUGGGUGACCUGCCCUCAGCUCUGGGAUAAGCCUGGGAAACCGGGUCUAAUACUGGAUAUGACUCCAUGACGCAUGUUGUGGGGUGGAAAGCCUUGUGCGGCUGAGGAUGGGCCCGCGGCCUACCAGCUUGUUGGUGGGGUGAUGGCCUACCAAGGCGACGACGGGUAGCCGGCCUGAGAGGGCGACCGGCCACACUGGGACUGAGACACGGCCCAGACUCCUACGGGAGGCAGCAGUGGGGAAUCUUGCGCAAUGGGCGAAAGCCUGACGCAGCGACGCCGCGUGAGGGAUGACGGCCU